GUCCAACACUUGGAUAAAUCCCAUGGUAAUUGAUUGUCCAUAGGCUUCAUUGCUUGGCUAAGAUGCUUAUCGAUUACUCUCUACUCGUUGUCGACAGCCCUUCUACAUCAGUUAUUGAUUUGUCUGCUUCUUGUAAGAGUAUUUCCCUGUUCACCAACCCUUGACUAACCGAUCAAGCCUUGUUUUAUCGACUAUAAAAAGUUGACUAUUUCUUUCUUCUUUUUGUGUAAAUAAGCACUGUCCAAUUUUAGGUGCCAAUCUGAAUAUCUCGAAUAAGUUUACGGUAGAUGUUUACCAACCAGAAAUUGACAAUCCUAUGACAAAAUCAAAGAAAUUAAACAUUUUCACGAGAUAUUUUUCGAGCUUAUAACAAAUUAAAUCUUCAAGUAUGGAUGGACUUGAAUCUUUUUCCCCAUGUUGUGGUAACUUGAAGUUGUCAAAUUAUCCUCGCUUCAAAGUUUUCUUAAAAUGUUAAAGCAUACGCCCUUUCCUUCUUAGUAUUUCAACUUGCUUUUUCGUUUAGAUAAAUGGGUUACUUUUUAAAGUUUUUUAUCCAUGAAAAUAAUAAAAAGAGCAACAAGGGAAGUCGCUGAUCCCCGCCGGUUCAAAACCAUAGAAGUACCUCCUCCCGUACCUACCUGUUCUGUUUCCAAAAGUUCAGCCACGACGCGAGCGAACGAUCUACGAAUCUUUAGCAUCACGGCAUAGUCGAACGAAAUGGGGUUCUGUUAUCCCUCCAAUCCAAGGAAGAUGGCAAUGACGACCGGAAUGUUCGCCGCCGGAGCUGGCCUUUUCGCUUAUGGAUUGCAUCUCUGGUACGUUAACAUCGCCCCUCAGCGGGCCCGUAUCCAAGCUCGUAACGAGUUUGUAAAAGAACGAUUGAAACAGAAGUAUGGGAAGGAAACUGGCCGAGGCUGAGAGGGACGCGUGAUCGUUUUUCUUUGUUGGGCUGAGAAGCGAAUGAAUGAAAAGGACCAAAGUGCCAAGUUGACGAAACCAGACCAUCAACUGAGAACUGGAUUCUGUUGGGCGCUCGGAUGUCCCUGCAAAUUUCGUAAUAACAUCAGAAGGGUCGCACCGGAUUCCCAGGAAACAGACUAAUGUUUCGUAUGUUAUGAAUAAGAAACAAAUACUGUUGUUGCUUAAAAGACGAGCAUCUACUGUUGAAUCAAAAUGCAGUGGAUAUGGUUUAAGGAUGGCAAACGCCGGUACAGUGUAAACAUAUAUCGAAUAAUGAUCAACCAUCACAAAGCUCUUGAAAUUAACACCUGGUAUCACAAGAUUAGCUAUGGGUAAGAAUUUUAAAAGAUUGCAAGACCAGAAUUUUUCGGCUUCGUAGUAACAUUUUGUGCAGCUCCUUCUUCCUCUGUAUCUUCUUCAUGCAGAACUCCAGCUCUCUGCCUUCCAAUAUGCAUCUGCCAAGAACCGAUCCACCAUCCCAUGUAAUCCGCUGGGGAAGUAAAACUGUAGAGAAGGAAAUCAAUGCUCAAGUUCUAUUAAAUCAAGUCUUAAUGUGCUAAAAUCUAAAAGAUCUUCUCUUGACAUUAAUGCUAAACAUACAUGAAUAGAGGAGCAACCUACAUGCUUUCAUGGUUUAUGAUUACAUCCAAUAGAUGGGCCAUCGAAUUUCGUCCUUACAUCUGGAAUAAUGAUUCCAA